rnacentral:rRNA from 1 species
UGCGGACUACGGGACGCAGCAGUGGGGAAUAUUGCACAAUGGGCGAAAGCCUGAUGCAGCAACGCCGCGUGAGCGAUGAAGGCCUUCGGGUCGUAAAGCUCUGUCCUCAAGGAAGAUAAUGACGGUACUUGAGGAGGAAGCCCCGGCUAACUACGUGCCAGCAGCCGCGGUAAUACGUAGGGGGCUAGCGUUAUCCGGAAUUACUGGGCGUAAAGGGUGCGUAGGUGGUUUCUUAAGUCAGAGGUGAAAGGCUACGGCUCAACCGUAGUAAGCCUUUGAAAAUGGGGAAGUUGAGUGCAGGAGAG